rnacentral:tRNA from 1 species
GGGGAUGUAGCUCAGUUGGUAGAGUGUUUGCCUUGUGUGCAAAACACCCAGGGUUUGGUUCCCAGCAGCUCAU